GCUCAAUUCAUAAUUCUUACAUAGUUUUGCAUCGCCGACGUUCUUAAACUGAGAUCCAAGUGUUAAAAGUACAAUAAAACUGCCAGCGCAGCGUUUUAACAAUUGUUGACCUAAUUAUACUAUCUUGAGAAUCUCGCUUCAAUUUUACUCGCACAAAUUUUGCUGCUGGGUUGAUUUUCACAAGCAAGGUAAUUCUUGCUCCUCCUAAAUGUAUAGUACUUCUAGCUAUAUGAUUGAAGACUGGUACGCAC